rnacentral:tRNA from 1 species
AAAAAUUUAGUUAAAUUAAUAACCUUAGUUUGUCAAACUAAAAUCAUUCUCAAAAGAAUAAUUUUUA